AUGAAAGAGACCUGCCGUGAAUCCGAACCACGCCUUCCCCCCGGGGCCGGGGCACUGGGCAGUGGGCUGCUCGGAGCCCCAGGGGCUCAGCUCCGAGCUCCUCCUGCCACCGGCAGCUUCAGCUCCCCGAUGUUUGCGGUUCAUUGUGUGUGCGGUGUGUGUGGGCUGGGAGGGGUGUCAGGGAGCAUCCCAUUAGCCCAAGCAAACCCACGCAGGCACGGGGAGAGAGGAGGACCGUGCACUCGGCCAACCUGUGUCAUGCGCCUGCCCACCUCGCAGGACCUCGGGGAGCCCACGGAAGCACCUGGACAGGCAGUGACAGCCAGGAGCACAGCCAGGGGCCAAGGAAAACCAGGUGCUGAGAGGGCCCUCCGCUUGGUCUUUGUCCUGGCCUCAGCGGCCACUCCGAGGAGUCAGGGGUCAGGGCACCCUAGGGUAGCGCUGGGUCCUGAGGGCCCAACUUCAGUCGGGUAUUCCAGCAACCCCCGCAGCACUGCCCACCCGCACCUGGAUUCUGACAGCCAGCGCCAGCAGGCCCAUAAACUUGACCCACUGUUGUCCAAAGCCCAAGGGUUCCUCCUCCGGGAGGCGGGGAGAGGGCGUGGCUUCGGGAGUGGGCGGGGCCUGGGCGCCCAGCUCGGGUAGGGCGGAUUUGCCACUCCUCCCUUCUGUCCUUCCUCCACUCCAGGGACUGCCAGCUCCCUUCGCUGUCCCUAAAUGGGCUCCCUCGUCUCCUUCCUUUGGGGUCUCGAGGCUGACCCCACCAUCCCCAGCUGCCUCGGCCCUUCUGCGCCCCCGCCCCCGCCCCCAGGCCGGCAAGUCCCCGGUGUCUCAUUCUUUCCAGCUCCCCAUCCAAGCACCCACCCGGGCCCUGCGCCAUUCCCCACAUUUUCCUCUCCCGUUCUCAUGAGCCCGACCCAAGUCUCUCUUUCGGAAAUCUGUCCCCUCUUGCCCUCACUUUCUCACGUAGAGACAAAGGCGCUCAGUCCCAGAAAUAGACGCGCCCAGAGAUGCGCGGCACGGCACAGGCCGCGUCCUGCCCCGCACGCGCGCGCGCGCGCUCAGGAGCGGCGGCGGCUCGCGUGGAGGGAGGCACACAGACCCGCGUCUGUGUGUGCACGCACACAAACAUCCACACCCAUGGCCGCCGCGCCGGGCCACAAAGGGGUGCUGACACGCGGCGGGCGCGCGAGACAAGGGCGCGCCGCCCUCCCUCCCGGGCACACCCACCGCGCCCCGGGGCCGGAGCAAGGCCUCCCCCGGGCCCGCUCGGCUCCCCCCGGAUUCCUCCCCGCGAAUGUUUCCCUACUUGGCCUGCCAGGUCUCUAGGGAAAGGGCCUCCGAAAUGCAUCGGGAGCCGCUUGGGGGAAGGAAGUUGGAACUGGCUGUUCCCUGCCUGGCCCUGCCGGCGAAUUCCCUAACCGAGAAACUAUUUGUGGCG
rnacentral:lncRNA from 1 species